AUCGCUUCUCGGCCUUUUGGCUAAGAUCAAGUGUAGUAUCUGUUCUUAUCAGUUUAAUAUCUGAUACGUCCUCUAUCCGAGGACAAAAAAAAAUACAAAAUCUUAUGUAUACAUCCUAUCUCUUAGAAUUCUAUAGAUGAAGCUUCCCUUGGGGUUUCAGGUAUCUGUGAAUGUGUGAAAUCUUA